AUUAAGUUUUGCAAAAAAUUUGGAUAAUUAACUUUAUUUCAACAUAUAAUUGGAACAACAUAAACAUAGUAAUGUAGAAUAUAGAGAGGAGAGAAAAAAGCAAAUUUCCAAAAAAUACUCAAUAAGUUUUUGUAAAAACCAUUUUAAAAUAAGAAAUUUUGGAAUUUUUUGAAUUUGUUAUGAUGAUUCUACUGUGUAAUCAUAAUCACUGAGUUUUUUCAGGCACCAUAUUGCAGGAUAGUGCUUCCAAAGCUCAGUGAUUAUGAUUACACAGUAGGAUUGUCACAACAACAAAUCCAAAAAUUCAGAACACUUACACUUUUCAAUAAUGAAACUAUGAUGGUAAUGGAUUUUAAAAAAACUAUCUCUCCUUCUUGCUUUCAUCUACAUGUUUGUACAGAUUCGUUUUUGAAAACCUGCUUGAUUCAGACCAAUUUAUGGACAUGUUAAGAGAUAGCAACACAUAUCUCUUAUAACUCACAUUUUGCUUUUGAUAGGAUGAUCUUUUGGCUGUCGUCUGGAGUUAAGAGAGGAAGCCAAUGGCAGACAUAAUGGCAAAAUUGUUCCUCAGAAAAAAAAAUACUUUUGUAACCUUCAAACAAAAUAUAAAAAUCUAUGUUAUAUAUGUAGACAAUCUUCUAGUUGUAUGGAAGCACCUCAUUAAAUUGUUAAACUCAAAGUAUAGGCUUGAAUUUAGUUUUGGGCCAAAAAAUAUCUCCAGUAUACAUUAUUCAGAUGUCCAGAUAAUAACAACAGGGACAAAUUAUGUUAUUUUGGUUAGCAGAAAAACCAAUGAAUGUCAUAAGUAUCAUACCAAAGUGGUUAAAUGACAUGAUUAAAUAUAAAAAAAC
rnacentral:lncRNA from 1 species